CACCAAGUUGCUGAGGCUGGCAUUGAACUUCCUGCUCAAUCUCCUGAGUCACUAGGAUUGCAGUUGUGUGACACCACACCUGACUUACAAAAUUUUAAGACCUUUUUUUUUUGUUGUUGUUGUAGAUGGGCACAAUACCUUUAUUUUAUUUAUUAAUGUGGUUCUGAGGAUUGAACCCAUGCCUCACACAUACGAGACAAGUGUUUUACCACUGAGCCACAACCGCAGCCCACAAAAUUUUAUUAAGAUAAUUUACAUGCAGUAAAAUUCACUCCAGCCCCAAAACCCACUCUUUUAAAAUGUAUAAUUCUAAAAACACAGUUGAUUAGCCACUGAAAGACACUGAGUAGUUGCAUCACCCAACAAAAAUUCUAUGUUUUGUAAAUGACUCAUCUUGGGAAAAUAUUUUGAAAUGUGAGCCAGAAUAAAAGGGAAGAAAUGAAUUAUUUUAAAUUAUCUCCUCUGUUCAAGGAGAUUUAGACCUGACAUAGCACAUGAAUUUCAUCUCUUCUGCCAGCUCCAAAUGAUUGAUGGAUGGCUGGAGGGGAGGACUUUGUACAAGGUUCAGACAAAUUACCCCUAAGUGAUUUUGGAAAUGGCAGGGGAUACUGGGAAAAACAUGCCAUCCGUUUUUUAGAUUUAUUACUUUAUUUAUUUAUUUAUUUUUGGUAAUGGGGAUUGAACCCCCUGGGCCACAUCCCAAGUCUUUUUAAUUUUUAUUUUGAGACAGAGUCUUAGUAAGUUGUUACGGUUGGCUUUGGACUUGUAAUCCUCCUGUGUCAGCCUGCCAAGUUGCUGGGAUUACAGGUGUAAAUCCUGACCCUACCUAGUUUUUUAAGUAUAAAUUUUCAAAACAUGAACUAGGAUUCAGGACUUCCUAGUUUGUGACUGUAACUGGACCCAUGGGAAAAGACCCAUCCUACCUUGCAUGUUCAUGAGUGUCAUUACUCAGAAAUUUCUCCACCCCAUAUUAGAUGACAUCUUGGAAGAAGUUAGACAUAGGAGGUGACUUAGAAUUAGAAAACCACAAGGGGAAAGAUGGUGACAUGAAGACAAGUAUUCAUUGUCCAAUAAUUUCCUCUGCUCAACCCCCUCAAUCCUGAUGAAAAUGCCCUGCCCUGCGCUGCCCUGCCCUGCCCUUCACAUGCCAUGCCUACUUAAACUAGACUCGGGAGUUAUGAAAGAAAACUAAGGAAGCCCCUUGCUGGUGUCAGUGAAAAACUGAUUGGAUUCCCUCUUUUAUCCUUGGUCUCCCACAAACAAGUGUCCUUAUCUUCUCUGCUCUCCUGAGGCCAUCCCAGAAGCCCAGGGAGGCCAGCCUCCUUGAACUCCAGGCAAAGCAGAACCAAGCAACUGUUCAUAACUGAUUUCAGCACAUGGCCAGUGACCUGAAUGGGACCUGACCGUGGGGGAAAAUGAUACAGAACUAGAUGGGUUUUUAACAUUUUUAUUUUUAGUAUAUGUAGUCCUGUGAAAGUGAAAUGUUAUCUUUGAGCCAGGAACAUUGAAAAACACUGACAGGGAGCUGCUUUGGCCUGGCCCAUUUUUCUGAAGGCACAUUGCAGCUGUGGCCUCAGCCCAGCAGGCAAAGGCAUGUUGGGUCUGUACCCAGGUGCUGUUCAGAGCAGUAACAAGUCUCAUCCUCUGACUGCAGAGGGUCUGCAGGAAGACUGGGGCACCAUAAGAAACUUUGAACCUUAAAAACCCUGGAAACAGUAAAUGCAAGUUGUCAGGACUGUUUACUUCACAUUUCAGAUUGGAAAGUGAUCAAGACUUUGGAAACAUCAACAAGGAUCUGCAGGAUCUGGACCAGUCAGAUUAUAGACCAAUUUGUAAUUAUACUGUUGGUUCUAGAAUUCUACUUUGCUGGGGCAGAGUUGGGGGGGGUGACCUAGAAGAAAUGGUGUGGGUGGGUACUUUAUUUAAUUCACAGCCCUUAAGCAGUGAGUAGCCAUUCACACCAGCUCUUCUGAAUAGCAAGCUAUGGUCCUGAGAAAUAGCUAGAAGGCAGAGUACAGUAUUUGGCAGAAAUGCAGGAUAAAGAUGUUGGGGAGAUGAUGUCUUUUUUUUUUCUUCUGGUACUGAUCAAGCCCAGGGGCAUUUUCCUCUGAGCUAUAUCCCCAGCCCUUUUUAUUUUUUGAGACUGGGUCUCACUAAGUUGCUGAGGGUCCCACUUAAUUGCUGAAGCUAACCUUGAACUUGGGAUCUUUCCUCCUCAACCCCAGGAAGGAUUAUUGUGAGAUGAGAAAUGUGGAACACUAGUCUAGCCAGGGUCUGCCUGAGAAGAGUGCAAGAAGGUCAGCAUAGAUUGGUCUAGAAUAGGUGCCUGAGCAGAAGCCCCUGACCCUUGAUUUGGCAUUACCAGUUAAAAUACAAGAUGCCUGUUUUUAUUUGAAGGUCAGAUCAGCAAUGAAUCACUGGUUUUUAUAUUACAUGGAACAUACAUCAAAAAGUUCCUUUGGGGGGCCGGGGUUGUGGCUCAGUGGUAGAGUGCUCUCUGGGAUGGUAGAGUGAUUACUGGGUUCCAUCCUCAGCACCACAUAAAAAUAAAGAUAUUGUGUGUCCGCCUUAAACUAAAAAAUAAAUAUAUUAAGAAAAGGUUCCUUUGGGCUUGGGGUAUUUAGCUCAUUGUUAGAGCACAUGAUUCCCUGGUUUUCAAUCCCUAGCACCCUGCCAAAAAUUGUUGUUUAUCUAAAAUUCAGCUUUACCUGUUUGUCCUGUUUUUAUUUGCUAACUAAUUUAUAAAUUGUAUUUGUUAAUGAAUCUGCAAAUUUUAGUUUGACAUGCAUUCUGAAGUCUGGUAACAGGAUGGGAAAAACUUUAAUCAGAUAUUAAGAAAACUAUGAACAUAAACUGUUGACUUGAGUCUGAGCUGCUUCACACAGAAAGAUACUUAGUCGUGUUGCCAGUGAGGAAUAUUGGUUUUUCCUAUUUAUGGCGACUCUCCUAUGAUGUAAAACGUUUUUUGGUUCUGCAAUUUCCUCAGUAAGUAACAAUAUAUAAUACUACAUUAACCCAAACUCAGGCUAGC
rnacentral:lncRNA from 1 species